rnacentral:rRNA from 1 species
AACCGCGGUUACACGAGAGACCCUAGUUGAUAGACACGGCGUAAAGAGUGGUUAGGGUUAUCAAUAAUAAAGUUAAACCUCCUCCAAACUGUUAUAUGCUACUUCGAAAGUAUGAAAUCCUAUUACGAAAGUAACUUUAAUUUUCCCGACCCCACGAAAGCUAGGACA